rnacentral:rRNA from 1 species
GAUGAACGCUGGCGGCGUGCCUAAUACAUGCAAGUCGAGCGAACAGAUGAGGAGCUUGCUCCUCUGACGUUAGCGGCGGACGGGUGAGUAACACGUGGAUAACCUACCUAUAAGACUGGGAUAACUUCGGGAAACCGGAGCUAAUACCGGAUAAUAUAUUGAACCGCAUGGUUCAAUAGUGAAAGACGGUUUUGCUGUCACUUAUAGAUGGAUCCGCGCCGCAUUAGCUAGUUGGUAAGGUAACGGCUUACCAAGGCAACGAUGCGUAGCCGACCUGAGAGGGUGAUCGGCCACACUGGAACUGAGACACGGUCCAGGCUCCUACGGGAGGGAGCAGUAGGGAAUCUGCCGCAAUGGGCGAAAGCUUGACGGAGCAACGGCGCGUGAGUGAUGAAGGUCUUCGGAUCGUAAAACUCUGUUAUUAGGGAAGAACAAAUGUGUAAGUAACUAUGCACGUCUUGACGGUACCUAAUCAGAAAGCCACGGCUAACUACGUG